rnacentral:lncRNA from 10 species
CUUUUCCUGGUCCUAAAUUCAUUGCCAGUUCCCCAGUCUGCAGCAAAUGUGCCACGUCAAGACUGGAAAUCACAGCCCUUGAGUGUGUCUCAGUCAGCGCAGCAGAAUUCAGGGGGGAAAGCUGAAUGCAACCCCUGGUGCAGGAAGGGAGGCUUUUCCUGAGGACCGGGAGAGGAUUUUAAGUACAUAGAAGGAAGCUUCUGGAGAUCCUGCUCCGUCGCCCCAGUGUUCAGACUACCUGUUCAGGACAAUGCCGUUGUACAGUAGUCUGCACAUUGGUUAGACUGGGCAAGGGAGAGCAACGCCAUGGACCGCUGGGGACAAAAUGGGCUGUUUCCAAGGAGAAGACAUUUGUUUGCUCCUUUUUUGAAUCUCAUAUCCAGUGUUUUUCUUCACAGGUUUUGCACACUAGGGACCAAGAAGCCCUCGGGGACACUGCUGAGAAAAGACUGCCGAAGGGAAGACCAGCGGGUAAGGCCUUCUUGACUGCUCACCUGGUCUGUGACCAAGGGAACCUAGGUGGGGAGCCCAUGAUUUGUGUUAACAUGCAAGGGAAACAGAGGUACAUGUGUGAUGGGUAGAGAUGUAUUUAAUUUUAAAAGAGCAAAAGUGUGUGGUAUAUAGCGAUUUACUGUUUUUUUUUUUUUUAUUUCUGAAGAUUGAUAAUUCAAGUGUUUUCUUAAAGGUUUUCCCACUUCAAAAUGAAAUAUGAAAAAACUCAUUCCAGACACUUAAGAAUAGUUUAAUGAGGCUACUUUUGAAUUGUUUAAUAAUAAUUCAAAGAUUUAAAAACUUAUAUGGAUGAAGGCUGUAUGUAUAACUUUUAACAUCCCAGGACUGAAGUCAUUUUUCCCCAAAGUAAAGAAUACUUGCUGGUUUUUAAAUGCUAUAUGGAUAGUGCUUUUCUGAAGAUUUCCUUCUGUAAUAUAAACAACAGGAAUAAUAGUACCUAACAAUAAAAGAAGAACCUGCCAAGUCUUGCCUACCAGACAAUGCAGAUGGGAUUUGCCCAGAGAAGAGCACCGACCCACAACUUAUUGAGUCAGCAACUGAGUAAAUCAGGGAAUAAAAACCUCUAUCUUUAGAUACCCCUGUAAAUAUCUGUUUUACAUUUUUUUUAAAUCAAAGAGUGGUUAAUAAUUGCUGCUCAGCUGAGCCCUCUUGCCUAUAGCUUACAAUGCUUCCACUUCUCUGAGCAUUUAAAAUAAGGCACUUUGUCUAGAAACCCACUGAUAAAAAAGGAAUUUGUAAACGAAGGCAGAAGUUUUCUUUGGUCAGUUUCCAGCUGUCCUGGAGGUGAAAGAGGGUGGGAGAGGGGGAGGAAGGUGGGAGGGAAGAAAACCCUCAAGCUGAAUGAAAUCCUAAUAGAGAAAAUAAUAGAGCAAGUCUGGAUUGCAAUGUGAUCUGUGCUGAACUUUAGAGGUCGGCCCCUUAAAGAAAGUUCUGGAAAAAUGUUAUUGCCUCAUCCCUAAUUUUCUUAACCCCCAUUAAUUUCUAUUCCGAAACAAUUCUAUAUAAUGAAAACAUCUCUUCUACAGGGUUUGUGAAAAAUAAACAUAAUCUCUUUUGUCCUCCUUUAAAGUUACAGUGGUUCCUGAACAAAUUCUUUUCUAAGUUAUACAUUUUGCAACAAUUCAAAAAUUGACUCAAGUUCUCUUUAGCAAAAUAUUUUAUUAUAAAAGAUUCCCUAAGUUUUCUUUUGUCAAAACAACUUACUUUAAAAAUUACCCUUCUGAUCACCCCAAAAUGUGUAUAAAGAAAACAUUAAGUAUUCUCAUAUAUUCAUGAUUAUUAGUUAAAAUAUAAACAGCAAGGAGAAAUUUAGCUACUUUCACUUAGAUGAUAUAGUAAAGUUAUCCUUUCAUUUUCUAUUGUGACUUGGAGAGUUCCAUAUUAAUUAUUUUUAGUAGAACAAAUGAGAUGUUAAAAAUCUAUAUAGUUUCUUUUACAUAAGAAAACUAAAAAAAGUAACUUAGAGGAGCUCAUUUUUUCAAGAAAUAUAUUUUUUCUAAUUGAUACAAUUACUGAAGAGGAAAAAUAGCUAACAAGGUACUUUGGUAAUGUUUUUCUCAAAUUUUCUGGGUUUUUUUUUUUUUUUUACUCUAGAAAUGAUUACAUUUCAAAAUUUGCUUUCAUUUAAUGUAUAUUUAAUUUCAAUUUCUUUCUUCAUGUUAAACGGUCUUUUUGUUUCAAAGAAAUGAAUCCCUAUGGGUCCCUCACCUAUUUUCUCCCUCAGGAUGACUUUUAGUCUGGAGAUAGAAGGGACAUAAGGGUGCCUCUGGCAUAAGUACAGGAGUAGAAAUAUAAGAAUUACUUUGUAAAAGGAUAACCAAGGAGUUCCUGCACAUGCUUGAUGUGGCUCUAGCGACUUAUUUUCGAGGCAAAGUUUUAACAAAUGAAAACGAAUAGUACUUAUUUUUCAAUUAUAUGGGCUAAAUUAAAGAUCAAAGGUAAAAGCUCAUUUUAUAAAGCUCUGCUGAAUGAAGGCAGGAUUGUAGUUUAUGCGCUGGUACACACGCCCACAUUUAUAUACAUUAUAGCCAUAUCUAUAUCCAGGUAAAUUAGAAAAAUGUUUAAUUUUAUUUUCAUAUUACUUUAUAAGGAGAUAUACAAAUAUUUUAGGGAUCAUGGAAUCUAUUCCAGAGGAAACUAACCAACAGUGAGCAUCUUCAACUAAAACUACCCCUGGAUGUAAUAAGUGUAAGUAUUAAAAUUAAACAUUAUAUGUGGUCAUGAAGAGAAAAUUGUUUCAGGGUCUGUCCAAACUACACUUCAUAGAAAUUUCAUAAUUAUUUUUCAUUUUAGCAUGUGAAUGAUUGAUAAAUUGGACUAGGUACUGGGUUAAAAGGACUUUUCCACCAUCUAAGAGAAAGGAAGUUCAGAGCCUUAGCUUCAACACCACAAUUUCUUAACUGGAAAAGGAUCAAUCUAAAACGGUGGACUUAAAUUUUCAAACUCAUUUUUCUUUUAGGCCACAGAUCUCAAAAUCAAAGAAAGACUGUUUACUAUAGGACAAAGUUUCACACUGAUCACUUUCCUGUAGUUAGUCAAUAGGCUUAAUAUCCUUCCUGCUUGGCAUUCGGGCUUUCGGCCCAGAUAAUAUGUUUAUGUUUGUAAAAGACCAAAAUAUACUAUCUACCCCCACCUCUCGCCUACAGACCACCCAUGUAUUUCACUCUGUGGGAAACAGUUUAGGCAUAAAAAUCCUAACGAAAGAAUUCUCCCCACUUUUUUGGUUGAAGUCUUAAGCUGUUAUAAGAUAUAAAAAGUACAACUUGGUAAUGUGAAAAAAUUCACUCAUCCACAAGCAUCCAUGCUCGGUAAAGAGACGCCAAAGCUUUCACUUACUCUGUAAGGGAUCUGCUCUUUAUAAACAAUGCACUUUACUCUGCUCUAAGGAGAAUAGCCCACCCAUCACAAUAACGUCAAAAUAAUAACUAAGAGACCAUCACUCAGAAAUCCUGGCUUAAAAUAACUAGAAGGUCAGGCUUUAACCUGAGACAGGAAAUUCCUGAGUUAAGAUAGAAACUUUCUUACUUCAAAUCCCUUCUUACUUUCAUGUUCUGUAAAUUAAGUAGAAAUAAAUAUUUACUCAUUUUCAAAGGUCUCUUACAAAUAAUUUUUAUCAGUUUUAAUAGUUAGAGAUAACGAAGUAAAUUAGGAAAAAUAAUUAAAUCUUCAUUUUGAAUUUUUUGACUUAGCGUGACAGCCAGUUUCCUGGAGUUGCUUUGGUUUAAUUUCACUACAGAAGACUUAGAAGACAAUUCUUUUCUUACAUUUUUUUCCUUAAGAAAUAAAAGACAAAAAGAAAACAAGGUGUAAUAACCACACUAAAAAUUACAUGGUAUGAUAAUAAUACAAAUAGCUCUUUUAUGUUUUAGCUAGUAUUUUAAGUAAUAAUAAACUAAUAUUCAACCUAUAAUUUGGGAGAUUAAAAAAAGGUCAAUAUGGUUUUCAGUCUUUCAUCUUUUUAACAAGUUUAGGGGCAGGUUCAACAUAACAAUGAAGUGUGCAUAUGUCACAUAGUUACUGUAAGUGUGUUUUAAAAAUCUAUCAGAAACAUAAAUUGUCCAAAAGCCUUAUGAAUAGAACAAUUGUUUUCAGCAAGAUUUUUUUUUUCCCCUGAAAAACUGUUGUGGUUUUUCUGGCUCAAAAAAUUUUUAUAUCUUGCCUUAAUAAAACUGUUUUAUAUUAAAGCAUAACAUACAAACUCACAAAUAUUUCUUUUUAUUUUUUCAGGUUGCAUGCAUCAUUCCUUUAAUUGAGCAGAGUUAACUGGAUCAAAUUAUUUAUGGGAGAGAGAGGAAAAGUUAUAAAGAAUUAUAGUAAUUUUUAAUUUCCACCAAUAUACUCUUUGUAAGUGAAUCACUCUAUAAUUACUUUCUGUUGCACUGAAUGCAGCAACAAUAACACAAUAGUAUUUUAAGGCACUGGUUUUUGGCAUACUCUAACCUUGUAAUUAUUUAAAUAACAGCCAAGUUUACUCAUGUUUUUGAUUCUGUCAAGAAAAAAAAAAAGUUCCUUUACUCGAAAGUGAUGGCCGAAACAGAAUCGGAAAUUUGUUUUCUUGAAAUUACAUAAAUACACAGAAAAUGGCACUUAUUAGCUUUUGUUAAAACAUUACCUUACCUAAUCACUGCAUAAAAGUCCAGAUUUGUAGAAAAUUGUAAUUUUCUCAGUAUCUAAAACUAUUUUGCUUUCCAUUAAGUUUCUAUUUGCUAUUUUCUCAGAAUUUUACAAUUAAAGAUAAAUCACAAACUGUUUGUUUUUCUUAAAGUUCUUUGAGAAAAUGUCUAAUUAUACAAUCCUUGGACAAUACUGUGUUUUUUUGGUGCUGUGUUUUUUAAGAAGUCCUACUUACUGGAAUUUUGACUAUUUGGAUAUUUUUGUUUUUAAAAGGGGAGGGGAAUUUGCUUAAUACUUCUAAAGAUGUGAAUUGAUAAUUGAUAUUAAAAUAGAAUUACUCUCAACUCACCAGAAUUAAAUUUUAUAUCUGCAUAUUUAACACUAUUAGCUCAUAUAAAUUAUAAGAAAAAUUUUCAAAGGAUCUGGUUUUAAUUUUUUGGAUAUGAAAUGAAUUUGCCUUUUCUGCCUUUUCUUAAGUACUAUUUUGUAACUAUAUUGCACUAACUAUAUCCAAAACACAUUCUGAGCAUCACUGUGAGUAACAGCCUUCCAGUUUGUACCCUUUUGAUUCACAGCAUGGCCCUAUAGUUAAUUAAGAGGUGGAUAACUUAAGCUCACAACUGCCUUUAAUUUGAUUUCACAUCCACAGUUAUAAACUUUGCAUUUAAAAGGAAAAUGAGACAUUUAAAUAGGUUCCUGUUGUUUCACAUAUAAUUGGUAAAAACAUAUUCCCUUGUAGGAUCCUAUUAUCAGAGCAUCAAAUACCAAAGUCAGCAACUUGGGUUGCCAAAUAAAUUAGGCUCAUUAAUUAUUUUGAAAAGGGCUGCUGUUUCCAUGUAAAUGAUAAUUUUCUUUUUCAUGGACAAGGUUAUGGUACUUAUCUACUAAAAGAAACAUGCAUAAACAUAGUUUUUAUCUUUAACUUCAGUAUUAAAAUAUGCAGUUUUUUGCAAAGAGGAAAAACAUCUGGUUCAAUUACGCUGAACUCUGACUACAUGUGGGCCAGUAAUAAUAUGAAUUGGACUUAAGAAUAAACCUUGUGUUUAAUCUCUUUUUUUCCUUAAAAUUUUAAUGUGAGUUUUCUGUUACGCAAAUUAUCCAUGUUAGCACAUUUGGAACAAAUGUAUAAAUGUACUUUCUGAAUAAAGUCAAAAGUCUAACUUGUUUUUAGUUCCAUAAUGUUUUAAUGUUUAAUUAUAUUGUGUAUUUUUCUCCCUUUCCCCUUACUCUCCAAAAUCACCAAAUCUGGAAAACAGGCUGAUUGUAUCUGUCUAUGAGCAAAGGAAACCUGAAGGAACCAAGGGCCUGGCUGGACAGAGUUGUCAUGUGUCUGCCUGUCUACACUUGCUGUGCAGAACAUCCGCUCACCUGUACAGCAGGCACAGACAGGCAGUCACAUGACAACCCAGCCUGAAUGACAACCAGCCAUUGAAAGAAAGCAGCCCUCACACCAUAGCAUCUACACCAAGAGCUACAACCAAAAUGAGGGGCUCGGGGGCCUGGGGUUUUAAUCUGUUGGUUUAAUACUUAACUCAUGUAUUAUUUUAUUUUGAUUCAAGUAUUAAAACCCACCAAAAGUAAAGUGAGUGGUGCCUAUGAAAUAUAAUAAAACCCAUUUCUGAAAAUGUUCCUGUGCAUUCUAUAGUUCUCUUUUCCUAAUUGUUGUCAGCAAAUCACUACCCUUGACCUUUAUUGUACACAGCUUUGCAGCACCCUAUAUUGAUAUAAAAACUCAAUAUAACAAAACAAUAUAACUUCAGUCUGAUGCUUAACAAAGAAUAAAUUAUUCUAAGAAUUCUUGUCCAUAAACUAAGUAUGGUUUUCUAUGUCAUGAUUUUUUUUUUUUUUUUUUUUUUUUGGAAGGGGAUAGGGUGGAAAGACAGAGAAAAGAAAAGGGAGAAAAAGAGUAUUCCAAAGGAUCAAGUGCUUUGAGUUAACUCUGCCAGUCUGGGUUAACUCUGCCAGUCUGGGUCUGGGCAAAACACAGUGAAAAGACUACUAUUUCCAACUAGUGUUCAACUAUAUUAAAAUAAUAGUUUCUCCUCUUUUGACAUAUGGAAAGUUGAAAUUUUUGAUACUUCCACGCGUCAUGGUAUACAUAAAUUUAUGACUGCGUCAUUCUUUAAUUAAGAAGGUGCUUAUGCUACAGUUCUAGGAGUAGAAUUUACAAGGCCAACACAUUCACUUGCAACCUAUGCUUCCAUCACUAUAAACUUUCAAGAUCUUGAGAUGUUCAGGCAAUUCAUUUAUCUUCAGAAGCAUAAGGAAAGUGGUUAAUGCACUUGAAAUGUAUAUUUUGACACAUCUUUUGAGAAAAUAUCCAAACUUCAGUUUAUGCACUGUUAACUGGAGUGAAAUGAUAAGGGAUGGCUUUUGUCUAUGAAUACUUUAAAUACUUAAGGGUAAAAGGUGGGAAGAUGGAUAAAAUUAGAAAUGUGUCAACUUUUAUUUAGUUCAUUAACAUGUUUUAGCUUCAGUAUUUGAAAUUAAUUUUCAUCUUUCUUAGAUUCUGGUCAAGCUUAAAAAAUGUAACACAAGGCUACUCAAAACUUUUUUCACAUUUAACAAUUAAACACUUUAUGUAUGUAUUCUUAACUAAAGCAAACUAUUUUUCAUUCAGCUAUUUUAUUUUUAAAAUGAAAGUCUCAGUCUUAAAGCUAAGAUCCCAGUGAGUUUCAAAUUUUCUGACAAUGAUAUUUUAACCAAACCUGACAUUAUAGUUUCUUUAAUUAAAAAACUGAAUGAUGGGGCAAAACUACAAAGCACAAAUAUGAUUAAAGUUAAAUUUCUCUCAUUUAAACAAUCUUGUCUUAUGGCAAUAUGUCAUCUGCUAAAAUUCAUCUCUGCUUCUGCAAGAUACAUUGCACGAUGCAGAUUUUUGCCUUAAAUAAAAGUCCCAUUACUAGCAAAUAAAGUCCUAAACAAUACUUACAAAAUGUAGAAUAUAAACAGGAAGACAAUAUAAAAAUUACUCACAGAAUAUCGACAUCGUUCUACCCAAUCUUAAAUGCCUUGUACCACCUGUUGCAAAUGCUGCCUAUGAGAGUUCACGUAUGGAAUUAUUCUACUGGACCCUGCAAGGCUCAGGAGAGUGCUUGACAGCUCCCAGAAUGAGACAAUGACCUAGCCAGAACAUUAAGGAGACUACACCCGUCCUUCAGACUCCAAAGGGAAAGCUAGGACGGCAGCAGAGUCAUCCUAAGGUGAGGCACUCCAGGAUAACAUUUUCAAUAUUUUUCCUUAAAACAUAAAGUUAACACCUUUUUUGUUAAACAUUUUUUACUCAAUUUUCAAAAAAAAUGCUUGAAAGAAUGUUUUGUAUGUAUUUUAA